rnacentral:tRNA from 1 species
GCGCCUGUAGCUCAAUUGGAUAGAGCGUCGGUCUACGGAACCGAAGGUCACAAGUUCGAGUCUUGUCAGGCGCA